rnacentral:rRNA from 1 species
CGGCGAAAGCCGGAUUAAUACCGCAUACGAUCUACGGAUGAAAGCGGGGGACCUUCGGGCCUCGCGCUAUAGGGUUGGCCGAUGGCUGAUUAGCUAGUUGGUGGGGUAAAGGCCUACCAAGGCGACGAUCAGUAGCUGGUCUGAGAGGACGACCAGCCACACUGGGACUGAGACACGGCCCAGACUCCUACGGGAGGCAGCAGUGGGGAAUUUUGGACAAUGGGCGAAAGCCUGAUCCAGCAAUGCCGCGUGUGUGAAGAAGGCCUUCGGGUUGUAAAGCACUUUUGUCCGGAAAGAAAUCCUUGGCUCUAAUACAGUCGGGGGAUGACGGUACCGGAAGAAUAAGCACC